UGGGACCCAUCACAUGGAAGUGAUCUACAAGUGGUUUGCAAUAUAUAUUUAAGAUCUCAAAGUACAGCAAUCAUUUUUCCAACAUGUGUGGGAAAGAAGUAUAUUAAGCAAAGAGAAGAGUCAUUUUCUUAUCUAUUUCUUUCAGUUGAGUAGCUCUAAAAUUAAUUAGCUACGGAGAUACAUUUUCAAGGAGUGGGAAAGAAGUAUAUUAAGCAAAGAGAAGAGUCAUAGGAAGGGGAUUUGGAGGAGGGAGGCCGCCAUUGCUCGCUAAAACUGUUUAUAUUUGUCAAUGUUCAUGGUAGUACUCUGUAUUACUCUCACGCACCUAGAUAUUUUCUUGUCGGCUAUAAUUCAGAUUUAAGUUUUGCCACUUUUUGUUAACUGCAGGUCUUAAUAUAUUUCUUAUUACCAUUUGCCCCUUUAUUGUAAGCAUUAACCAAAUUACUUAACCAACCUUAUUUUCUCAUUUCAUGCAUAGACCUGAUUACCUGAGUUCAAAAUGUUCAGAGCUUGUCCUGCUUGUGGGCACUGGGCUGCAGCAUGUUGUUGCUCAGUUGGCGCUGGAGGUUGUUGAGGCAACAACCACUAAUUCUAGGAUAUUCUUUGGACAUUGUGAAGGAGCAUUUAAUUUGGUCAACGGGUAACUACGGAAUUUGAUAUACAGUGGCCAGCUUGAUCAGAAGGAAUUUAAUAGAGAUUAGAUGAGUAUGAAACAACUGGGUUGAUGCUGAUUCAUAGAGCUUUAAUAUGUUUUUGAAUUUCCUGGCAAGCUGACUUCCUAUGUUACAGAUCAGGUCAGAGGAAGAAGAUAAAGAAGGAUCUCGUGCGCCAUCGAGGAAGCUUGCUGGGCCUGAUGCGUCUCUGCCUUUCAGAAGUGGCCACCGUUAUCGACCCUCCUCUAAUGCAGGAGCGCCCUCCUCGAAUAAUGGGGGAGGGUGGCCGGAGAGUGCAAGCGGAGGUGGGAGGCGCUCGUGGUGUAGUACGAGGUGGGUGCAACGCUGGGAUGUACGCACCGCGGCAUCAACUGAGCACCACUCUGCAAGUGUUCUGUAGCUGCUAGCCUGCGAUGUCCGUCAUUCUACCUCUGUUUCAGUUCAUUUGUCCAUGCGUCAAUGCUCCAUCUGAAGGUUCCAUGUCUAAAAUCGUUUCUGCCUCGGUAUUCAGAUUCUUGGAUUUGGUAUCCUUGUCCUAGGCUAUUGUUCUGUGCUCAGCUGCAUGUUUUGAGAUUUGGUUUGCAAUGAAGUGGGUAGGAUGUCAAUCCCAGUGGCCUCACAUAAAUCAGAAUCAGCCCUCAAACACUAACAUGUUUGUGGCAUUAGUCGUUUGAAGGUUGCAGCCGAAAUCUUUACACACUCAAGUAAUUAGGAAAUCUGAGAACUGAUUCACUGUUGUUUUAGUCAAUACAACAUUCUUUUUUUGAAAACGUGAAACUAAAUUUGGUUUAACCUCAUGUUUUUUCAGCAUAGAAUUACAAAAUCUGUAA